CCUCUCAUGCAAGAAAAUGACAAACCAAAUCAAUUCCUUUCUCUCUUAAUUUUCUAAACCACUCUUUACUCCAUCUCUUCAAGCUUAUGCAUGCAGCCAUAUGUCCUUUCCUUCUCAUGCAUAAAACAGCAGCGUCAUAUAAAUCAUCUCUCUUAAUUCUCUUGGUCACGCCUCUCUUAACCACACCCCUUCUUAACACCUCC
rnacentral:lncRNA from 1 species